rnacentral:rRNA from 1 species
GACGAACGCUGGCGGCGUGCUUAACACAUGCAAGUCGAACGCUGAAGACCUGGCUUUUGUUGGGUUGGAUGAGUGGCGAACGGGUGAGUAACACGUGAGUAACCUGCCCUCUUCUUUGGGAUAACGCCCGGAAACGGGUGCUAAUACUGGAUAUUCACUGGCCUUCGCAUGGGGGUUGGUGGAAAGGUUUGUUCUGGUGGGGGAUGGGCUCGCGGCCUAUCAGCUUGUUGGUGGGGUGAUGGCCUACCAAGGCUUUGACGGGUAGCCGGCCUGAGAGGGUGACCGGUCACAUUGGGACUGAGAUACGGCCCAGACUCCUACGGGAGGCAGCAGUGGGGAAUAUUGCACAAUGGGCGAAAGCCUGAUGCAGCGACGCCGCGUGAGGGAUGGAGGCCUUCGGGUUGUAAACCUCUUUCGCUCAUGGUCAAGCCGCAACUGUGGGUUGUGGUGAGGGUAGUGGGUAAAGAAGCGCCGGCUAACUACGAG